ACUCAGAACCUCAAGUUAGUCCAGUGAUUGUCCCGAUGGAACCUGAGAAAAGGGGUAAGGACCACAUGCAACAACCACCACCAACUGAUGUACCAAAGGCUGCUAGUGAGGAAGGAGCAAAAGAUGACCCACCCAAACAGUGGGCUAGCCUAUUUCAGAGGAAUCGCCUCGCUGCAAAUGGUAUGUCUCUAGAGUAUAUUUCCCCUACACUCAUUAAUGGUAAACCAGUUGGUCAGCUGGUGAAGGAAGAGGUGGAGGAGGAAGAAGGAAAAUGGAAAUGUG
rnacentral:lncRNA from 1 species